AGUCGAACGGUGAAGCCAAGCUUGCUUGGUGGAUCAGUGGCGAACGGGUGAGUAACACGUGAGCAACCUGCCCUGGACUCUGGGAUAAGCGCUGGAAACGGCGUCUAAUACUGGAUAUGAGACGUGAUCGCAUGGUCGUGUUUGGAAAGAUUUUUCGGUCUGGGAUGGGCUCGCGGCCUAUCAGCUUGUUGGUGAGGUAAUGGCUCACCAAGGCGUCGACGGGUAGCCGGCCUGAGAGGGUGACCGGCCACACUGGGACUGAGACACGGCCCAGACUCCUACGGGAGGCAGCAGUGGGGAAUAUUGCACAAUGGGCGGAAGCCUGAUGCAGCAACGCCGCGUGAGGGAUGACGGCCUUCGGGUUGUAAACCUCUUUUAGCAGGGAAGAAGCGAAAGUGACGGUACCUGCAGAAAAAGCGCCGGCUAACUACGUGCCAGCAGCCGCGGUAAUACGUAGGGCGCAAGCGUUAUCCGGAAUUAUUGGGCGUAAAGAGCUCGUAGGCGGUUUGUCGCGUCUGCUGUGAAAUCCCGAGGCUCAACCUCGGGCCUGCAGUGGGUACGGGCAGACUAGAGUGCGGUAGGGGAGAUUGGAAUUCCUGGUGUAGCGGUGGAAUGCGCAGAUAUCAGGAGGAACACCGAUGGCGAAGGCAGAUCUCUGGGCCGUAACUGACGCUGAGGAGCGAAAGGGUGGGGAGCAAACAGGCUUAGAUACCCUGGUAGUCCACCCCGUAAACGUUGGGAACUAGUUGUGGGGACCAUUCCACGGUUUCCGUGACGCAGCUAACGCAUUAAGUUCCCCGCCUGGGGAGUACGGCCGCAAGGCUAAAACUCAAAGGAAUUGACGGGGACCCGCACAAGCGGCGGAGCAUGCGGAUUAAUUCGAUGCAACGCGAAGAACCUUACCAAGGCUUGACAUAUACGAGAACGGGCCAGAAAUGGUCAACUCUUUGGACACUCGUAAACAGGUGGUGCAUGGUUGUCGUCAGCUCGUGUCGUGAGAUGUUGGGUUAAGUCCCGCAACGAGCGCAACCCUCGUUCUAUGUUGCCAGCACGUAAUGGUGGGAACUCAUGGGAUACUGCCGGGGUCAACUCGGAGGAAGGUGGGGAUGACGUCAAAUCAUCAUGCCCCUUAUGUCUUGGGCUUCACGCAUGCUACAAUGGCCGGUACAAAGGGCUGCAAUACCGUAAGGUGGAGCGAAUCCCAAAAAGCCGGUCCCAGUUCGGAUUGAGGUCUGCAACUCGACCUCAUGAAGUCGGAGUCGCUAGUAAUCGCAGAUCAGCAACGCUGCGGUGAAUACGUUCCCGGGUCUUGUACACACCGCCCGUCAAGUCAUGAAAGUCGGUAACACCUGAAGCCGGUGGCCCAACCCUUGNGGAGGGAGCCGUCGA
rnacentral:rRNA from 1 species